rnacentral:rRNA from 1 species
UAGGGAAUCUUCGGCAAUGGACGAAAGUCUGACCGAGCAACGCCGCGUGAGUGAAGAAGGUUUUCGGAUCGUAAAACUCUGUUGUUAGAGAAGAACAAGGACGUUAGUAACUGAACGUCCCCUGACGGUAUCUAACCAGAAAGCCACGGCUAACUACGUGCCAGCAGCCGCGGUAAUACGUAGGUGGCAAGCGUUGUCCGGAUUGAUUGGGCGUAAAGCGAGCGCAGGCGGUUUCUUAAGUCUGAUGUGAAAGCCCCCGGCUCAACCGGGGAGGGUCAUUGGAAACUGGGAGACUUGAGUGCAGAAGAGGAGAGUGGAAUUCCAUGUGUAGGGGUGAAAUGAGUAGAUAUAUGGAGGAACACCAGUGGCGAAGGCGGCUCUCUGGUCUGUAACUGACGCUGAGGUUCGAAAGCGAGGGGAGCAAACAGG